AGUAAUGUAUGGGGAUCUGCCUGAUGGCGGGGGGUAACUACUGGAAACGGUAGCUAAUACCGCAUAAUGUCUGCGGACCAAAGCGGGGGGACCGUCCGGGCCCUCCGCGCCAUCAGAUGAACCCAUAUGGGAUUAGCUAGUAGGUAAGGUAACGGCUUACCUAGGCGACGAUCCCUAGCUGGUCUGAGAGGAUGAUCAGCCACACUGGGACUGAGACACGGCCCAG
rnacentral:rRNA from 1 species